rnacentral:rRNA from 1 species
GACGAACGCUGGCGGUAUGCUUAACACAUGCAAGUCGAACGAGAAGUUUUUUAUUGAACCUUCGGGGGAUAUAAGAGACAGACAGUGGCGAACGGGUGAGUAACGCGUGGGCAACCUACCUAUCGGAGCGGGAUAGCCUCGAGAAAUCGGGAGUAAAACCGCAUAACACGGAUAUAUCGCAUGAUGAAUCCGUCAAAACUCCGGUGCCGAUAGAUGGGCCCGCGUCUGAUUAGCUAGUUGGUAAGGUAAGGGCUUACCAAGGCAACGAUCAGUAGCCGGUCUGAGAGGGCGAACGGCCACACUGGAACUGAGACACGGUCCAAACUCCUACGGGAGGCAGCAGUGGGGAAUAUUGGACAAUGGGGGAAACCCUGAUCCAGCGACGCCGCGUGAGUGAAGAAGUAUUUCGGUAUGUAAAGCCCUAUCAGCAGGGAAGAAAAUGACGGUACCUGACUAAGAAGCCCCGGCUAACUACGUGCCAGCAGCCGCGGUAAUACGUAGGGGGCAAGCGUUAUCCGGAUUUACUGGGUGUAAAGGGAGCGCAGACGGCAAUGCAAGUCUGAAGUGAAAGGCGUGGGCUCAACCCAUGAACUGCUUUGGAAACUGUAUAGCUUGAGUGUCGGAGGGGUAAGCGGAAUUCCUAGUGUAGCGGUGAAAUGCGUAGAUAUUAGGAGGAACACCGGAGGCGAAGGCGGCUUACUGGACGACAACUGACGUUGAGGCUCGAAGGCGUGGGGAGCAAGCAGG